AAACUUUACAAUGCUGGCAACAGCGAUAAGGGAACCUCGAGUGCCAGGUUACAAAUCUGGCUGUCGAGAUGCCUAAAAAGCAUUUCAUAGCAAGGGCCGGGCAAGACCGGUGCCAGCCGCCGCGGUAACACCGGCGGCUCGAGUGGUAACCGUUAUUAUUGGGUCUAAAGGGUCUGUAGCCGGCCGGAUAAGUCUCUUGAGAAAUCUGGCAGCUUAACUGUCAGGCUUUCAGGAGAUACUGUCUGGCUCGAGGCCGGGAGAGGUGAGAGGUACUUCAGGGGUAGGGGUGAAAUCUUGUAAUCCUUGAAGGACCACCAGUGGCGAAGGCGUCUCACCAGAACGGACCUGACGGCAAGGGACGAAAGCUAGGGGCACGAACCG
rnacentral:rRNA from 1 species